GAUGAACGCUGGCGGCGUGCCUAAUACAUGCGAGUCGAGCGAACAGAUGAGGAGUUUGCUCCUCUGACGUUAGCGGCGGACGGGUGAGUAACACGUGGAUAACCUACCUAUAAGACUGGGAUAACUUCGGGAAACCGGAGCUAAUACCGGAUAAUAUAUUGAACCGCAUGGUUCAAUAGUGAAAGACGGUUUUGCUGUCACUUAUAGAUGGAUCCGCGCCGCAUUAGCUAGUUGGUAAGGUAACGGCUUACCAAGGCAACGAUGCGUCGCCGACCUGAGAGGGGGAUCGGCCACACUGGAACUGAACCACGGUCCAGACUCCUACGGGAGGCAGCAGAAGGGAAUCUUCCGCAAUGGGCGAAAGCCUGACGGAGCAACGCCGCGUGAGUGAUGAAGGUCUUCGGAUCGUAAAACUCUGUUAUUAGGGAAGAACAAAUGUGUAAGUAACUAUGCACGUCUUGACGGUACCUAAUCAGAAAGCCACGGCUAACUACGUG
rnacentral:rRNA from 1 species